CGAGUAGGAAAGAACAGUGCACAAAAUCAGAGCCUAUUACCAGAACAAGCUAAAUGCUCUGAAGAGGGUCUUGGAUAUCUAUCAGGAGAAGGUGGAGAGGAGAAGUGCACUAUGGGAGGAGAAGAUCAAGGGUCUGCAGAGUGUGAACGAGAGACUGCAGGAUGAGCAGAAGGCUUUGCAGGAGAGAAGCAGACACGACUCUGAAACCUGGGAGAGAGAGAAGAGCAAGAUGAUGGAGCUCUUCUCUUCACGUUUAGAUCAGCUUCACAACCACCAGGCGUCCACACUCCAGGAGCUGCAGAUGGCCAGGAUGGAGAUGGGACGUGUGCAGGAAAUGCUUCAGACCUCAAAGGAUGCCAAAGAGCCUGAAGUGAAAGAAAUGGUAA